AAGGUUCCAAACAAACACUAGGU
rnacentral:siRNA from 1 species